CCUACGGGCGGCAGCAGUGAGGAAUAUUGGUCAAUGGCCGGAAGGCUGAACCAGCCAUGCCGCGUGAAGGUCAGUGCCCUAUGGGCGUUAAACUUCUUUUGUGCGGGAGCAAUCAUGGUCACGUGUGGCCAGACGAGAGUACCGUACGAAUAAGCAUCGGCUAACUCCGUGCCAGCAGCCGCGGUAAUACGGGGGAUGCAAGCGUUAUCCGGAUUUAUUGGGUUUAAAGGGUGCGUAGGCUGUGAGGUAAGUCAGCGGUGAAAUGCCCCCGCUCAACGGGGUGAAGUGCCAUUGAUACUGCCUUGCGGGAAUGCGGAUGAAGGGGGAGGAAUGUGUGGUGUAGCGGUGAAAUGCAUAGAUAUCACACAGAACACCGAUUGCGAAGGCAUCUCACGAAUCCGCGAUUGACGCUGAUGCACGAAAGCGUGGGGAUCAAACAGGAUUAGAUACCCGAGUAGUC
rnacentral:rRNA from 1 species